GACGAACGCUGGCGGCGUGCUUAACACAUGCAAGUCGAACGGUAAGGCCCUUCGGGGUACACGAGUGGCGAACGGGUGAGUAACACGUGGGUGAUCUGCCCUGCACUUCGGGAUAAGCCUGGGAAACUGGGUCUAAUACCGGAUAGGACCACUGCCUGCAUGGGUGGUGGUGGAAAGCUUUUGCGGUGUGGGAUGGGCACGCGGCCUAUCAGCUUGUUGGUGGGGUGAUGGCCUACCAAGGCGACGACGGGUAGCAGGCCUGAGAGGGUGACCGGCAACACUGGGACAGAGAGACGGCCCAGACACCGACGGGAGGCAGGAGUGGGGAAGAUUGCCCAAUGGGCGCAAGACUGAUGCAGCAACGCCGCGUGAGGGAUGACGGCCUUCGGGUGGUAAACCUCUUUUAGCAGGGAAGAAGCGAAAGUGACGGUACCUGCAGAAAAAGCACCGGCUAACUACGUGCCAGCCGCCGCCGUAA
rnacentral:rRNA from 1 species